rnacentral:rRNA from 1 species
CGCGGCCUAUCAGCUUGUUGGUGGGGUAAAGGCCUACCAAGGCGACGACGGGUAGCCGGCCUGAGAGGGCGACCGGUCACACUGGGACCGAGACACGGCCCAGACUCCUACGGGAGGCAGCAGUAGGGAAUAUUGCGCAAUGGACGAAAGUCUGACGCAGCAACGCCGCGUGAGGGAUGAAGUACAUCGAGAUGUAAACCUCUUUCAGCAGGGACGAAGCUAACGUGACGGUACCUGCAGAAGAAGCACCGGCUAACUACGUGCCAGCAGCCGCGGUAAUACGUAGGGUGCAAGCGUUGUCCGGAUUUAUUGGGCGUAAAGGGCUCGUAGGCGGUCUGUCGCGUCGGAUGUGAAAACUCGGAGCUUAACUCCGGGCCUGCAUUCGAUACGGGCAGACUAGGGUUCGGUAGGGGAGACUGGAAUUUCUGGUGUAGCGGUGGAAUGCGCAGAUAUCAGGAAGAACACCGAUGGCGAAGGCAGGUCUCUGGGCCGACACUGACGCUGAGGAGCGAAAGCAUGGGGAGCGAACAGGAUUAGAUACCCUGGUAGUCCAUGCCGUAAACGGUGGGCGCUAGGUGUGGGGAAUAAUCUACAUUCUCCGCGCCGCAGCUAACGCAUUAAGCGCCCCGCCUGGGGAGUACGG